CCAGAGCCGCCUUUCUGAGGGGCUUUCUAGGAAGGAGGGGUUUUCCCUCAAGAGGUCUCCUGUUCCUAUCCAACGCAGGGAGGAACUCUGUGACAGGGAAUAAAACUUGCGGCUAGCUCUUUUGGAAGUUCAGCCUGUGAUCGCACUGAGUUCUACAGUGUCUACUCAAGAAGUGUGAGGACCAGCUAGCUACCAUGCCCAGGAGAGGUUUGACUUCUGGCGGUUUCACCUCUGAUGGCUGCACAACCAAACACUGUGUAUGUGUGUGGCAUAUUUCUUGAAAAGCUUUCUUCAGAUCCUCUGCAUGUUCAUGUCUCGGAGAAGCGUCCGUGGGGAAGGAUUUGGCAUCGACAUCACAUCCUCCCAGCUUGCCCGUGUUGAAGAACUCCGUUUCUUUCAACCCAGGUCGCUAAUGCCUCUGUUGGAGAAUUGUUUUCCUCUCAAAACAACCAGGGGAUGAGCUGAACUGGUAACUCAGGCUUCCAUGGGCUUCCGGUAGCCCUCUAUGCAGCCUGGCACCCCAACUUUCCACCAGCCGGAAGAAAGCUACACUCCUCAGCCUGAGGCAGGUGCUUUCUUCCAGGCCAUCUUCUACCUUCCUGAAGUGCCUUCUCCUGGUCCUUUGGUCCCUUCCUUUGUCUCAGCUGCAUGUGCAAGAUUUUAUAGAAAGUAAAGACAAUCCUUCCAUUACCAGGGUAUGCAGGGCCCUGGAGGAUGUAUUGUUGGAAUUCUGUGGCUUUCUUUCCUUUAAGAAUGUACAGAAUCCCUUGCUCAGGUCUAGGAAAGGCUGCGUAAAGAACUCUGGAUUUGGAGUAAUGUCCCAGUUGACAUUCCGUAGACAAGGUAGUCAACCCUUCUCUGUAUUAUGGUAAGUCCUCAGUAUGUGUAAUUAUAUAAUUAAUUAUAGCAAACAGACAUGUUUGCUGUGCUAGACAAUGUGCUUGUCUGCGAUUCUUCUUCAAGGCCGAAGCAACUUUGGCUCCGUUACCCCUGGUUUUCCACGGGAGAAAUCCCUCGGCCUUCCAGGCUCCCUUUGAGUUGGAGUAUUGUCUUUCCCCGGAAUCAGCAGAGCGGCAAGCAGUUCAUCAGACUGACUCUCCUGUACACUGCAAUGGUUGCCAGAAGGCCUGGACCCAGCCUUCUGAUACCACAGUAACCAAGAGUCCCAGCCUCAGCUAUGUCCUUCUUGGAGCCAGGUCCUCAGGGAGCGGGACUGAUUUCGAAAGGAUGGAGGGUGAGGUGGCCACAGCCUGCUUCCUUCACCCGGUGUCCACCUCCCUGAGUGAAGAAGUGAAGCUCACCUUUCCA
rnacentral:lncRNA from 1 species